rnacentral:pre_miRNA from 1 species
GUAGUAUUCCCUCCGUCCCAAAAUUCUUGUCUUACAUUUGUUUAGAUACGGAUGUAUCUAACACUAAAAUGUAACUAGAUACAUCCGUAUUUAGACAAAUUUAAGAAAAGAAUUUUGGGACGGAGGGAGUACAAA